rnacentral:rRNA from 1 species
AGAGUUUGAUCAUGGCUCAGAUUGAACGCUGGCGGCAGGCCUAACACAUGCAAGUCGAACGGUAACAGAACUAGCUUGCUAGUUGCUGACGAGUGGCGGACGGGUGAGUAAUGCUUGGGAAUUUGCCUUUGGGAGGGGGAUAACCACUGGAAACGGUGGCUAAUACCGCAUAACGUCUACGGACCAAAGGGGGCUUAGGCUCCCACCUAUAGAGAAGCCCAAGUGAGAUUAGCUAGUUGGUGAGGUAAAGGCUCACCAAGGCGACGAUCUCUAGCUGUUCUGAGAGGAAGAUCAGCCACACUGGAACUGAGACACGGUCCAGACUCCUACGGGAGGCAGCAGUGGGGAAUAUUGCGCAAUGGGGGAAACCCUGAUGCAGCCAUGCCGCGUGUGUGAAGAAGGCCUUCGGGUUGUAAAGCACUUUCAGUUGUGAGGAAAGGUUAGUAGUUAAUACCUGCUAGCUGUGACGUUAGCAACAGAAGAAGCACCGGCUAACUCCGUGCCAGCAGCCGCGGUAAUACGGAGGGUGCAAGCGUUAAUCGGAAUUACUGGGCGUAAAGCGCACGCAGGCGGUUUGUUAAGCUAGAUGUGAAAGCCCCGGGCUCAACCUGGGAUGGUCAUUUAGAACUGGCAGACUAGAGUUUUGGAGAGGGGAGUGGAAUUCCAGGUGUAGCGGUGAAAUGCGUAGAGAUCUGGAGGAACAUCAAUGGCGAAGGCAACUCCCUGGCCAAAGACUGACGCUCAUGUGCGAAAGUGUGGGUAGCGAACAGGAUUAGAUACCCUGGUAGUCCACACCGUAAACGCUGUCUACUAGCUGUUUGUGGACUUAAUCCGUGAGUAGCGAAGCUAACGCGAUAAGUAGACCGCCUGGGGAGUACGGCCGCAAGGUUAAAACUCAAAUGAAUUGACGGGGGCCCGCACAAGCGGUGGAGCAUGUGGUUUAAUUCGAUGCAACGCGAAGAACCUUACCUACUCUUGACAUACUAGAAACUUUUCAGAGAUGAAUUGGUGCCUUCGGGAAUCUAGAUACAGGUGCUGCAUGGCUGUCGUCAGCUCGUGUCGUGAGAUGUUGGGUUAAGUCCCGCAACGAGCGCAACCCUUGUCCUUAGUUACCAGUAUUAAGUUGGGUACUUUAAGGAGACUGCCGGUGACAAACCGGAGGAAGGUGGGGACGACGUCAAGUCAUCAUGGCCCUUACGAGUAGGGCUACACACGUGCUACAAUGGCGAGUACAAAGGGAUGCAAACUGGUGACAGUAAGCGGACCCCUUAAAGCUCGUCGUAGUCCGGAUUGGAGUCUGCAACUCGACUCCAUGAAGUCGGAAUCGCUAGUAAUCGUAGGUCAGCAUACUACGGUGAAUACGUUCCCGGGCCUUGUACACACCGCCCGUCACACCAUGGGAGUGGGAUGCAAAAGAAGUAGGUAGCUUAACCUUCGGGAUGGCGCUUACCACUUUGUGUUUCAUGACUGGGGUGAAGUCGUAACAAAGGUAACC